rnacentral:rRNA from 1 species
UUCCUUUAGUAUACACUUAAAGGUAAAACCUGCCCUAUGUUAUAUUAUAAAUGGCUGCGGUAUCUUAACUGCACUAAGGUAGCAUAAUUAAUUGUCUUUUAAAUGGUGACUUGUUUGAAAGGUUUAAUGAGAAAAAUACUUUCUUUUAAUUAAAAAAAUUUAUAUUUCAAGGUUAAAAUACCUGGAUUUUAAAAAAAGACGAGAAGACCCUGUUGAGUUUUACAGUUUUCUGUUUAAAUGGGAAAUUUGGCAUUAAAUUAAAGUUUCUUGUUAGAUCCUUAAUAAUUAGGAUAAAGGAUUAAAUUACCACAGGGAUAACAGGAUAAUAUUUACUGAGAGUCCACAUUGAAGUAAAUGGUUAUUACCUCGAUGUUGAAUCGAAAAAUCUUAAUAAUGGAACAGUUAUUAAAGAAGGUCUGUUCGACCUUUAAUUUUUC